CUUAGCCAGAAUAGACCAAGCUAAGCAAAGAGGAACCUAUCCCAAGCGUAGCAUCAACUAUUAUAUCUUCCCUACUGCUAUAAAGGAAUAAGGAGAGAGACAAUGCAGAGAAGCACUUUUCGAAGAGAGAGAAAGAAACCUCCCUAACUCAGAAAGGCCCAGACUGCGCUGAGGAAAGAAUGGCACUUUACAAAUAAGAAGAGGGGCAAUGAGAGCAGAGAAAGAAAGCUAACCUAAAGGUAAUUAUUUCUCUAAAGGGCGACGCAAACGUGAAGGUCAUUUUCCUUACUGGCACUGAAAACCUUCAAGGACAGGCGUAAAGCCCUCCUCACUGGUUGGCAGAGACCCUAUUCGAUCGUAUGGACCUAUUCCCAUUUAUGGCACAGUAUCCCAAGCAGUAAGGCUCUGUAGAGCUAGUCUCCCUUGAGACCUGCUGCCGCAAAAGCUCUUUCUGCUGCUCCUUCGCCUGCGGAUUAAGCUGUAGAAGGCAAGCAAGCAAACCUUGGCAACUGGCAAUUUCAAGGAUCAGGGGAGGUAUGAAAUGGUUAUCUCGGCUGGGAAUCAAGCCCCAACACAAAGAGCUGUGGGCCAGGUUGCUUUGCUUUAUCGGAUCAAUCAGUGUGCAGUGGGCAAGCUCUUUCCCAAGUCGCUGAGCUGUUUAACAGAGGGAAGGUCAAAGAGCUGUGGGGCUAGGAGUGUUCUCAAUCUUAGCAUUCCGAGACAAAGCCUGGGUCGUCGAACUAAAGAAUCUCAGCAUUGGCCAUAAAAACGCGUUUGAAGGCCUGUUUCUGGGACUGAUAGGGAGGGGUCUAAAACUUAGAUUUCUGCUAUAUCAACCUUCCAAACCAAAAGGGGAUUCCGCUCCUACCGCUAAAGCAUUGUUUCGGCCCCUGCUUCCAGAAGAGUUGGUGCAAAAGUCAUUGUAGUCCAAAUAGCGUAUUUCCGGUUAGGGGCCUAAGACUCACUAAAGCAAUUGUAGCUAUUCACUCCUUCUAGUUCUAGUGAAUUUCGCUCCAAAUAGCAUAAAAAGAAGCUUGAGUUCAAUUAGGGGGGAACCCUCUGUAGUCAACCUGCUCCCAAUGAAGAGGUAAGGGGCGUAGCGAUGAAGUCGAACAGGGUUGGUAAAUUCACCGGGUGACUCGAAAGCAGGCUCUUAAAGACCACUCCUAGCGCGUCAGUCAUUUCGCUCCCAAAGAGCUCCCUAAAAACGUUGCCAAUAUCGACAGCAGCUCCUGUUCAAGCUCUUGUUUCGGUUCCCGCAAAAGAAAUUGUUGCAGUCUCAACUGGAUAAAUGAACAGCUUCGCAUCUAUUUCCUAUUGUAAUGACAAAGGUUUUUCUACUGAUCCAGUGUCAGAUAAUUGGGAAUUCUCUUUUAG
rnacentral:lncRNA from 1 species